rnacentral:pre_miRNA from 1 species
GCAAAGAAAUGAACAGUGUUUGGGCUACAUGAUAGAUUCCGACUUCUCCGUUGUUGCUACCAUUUGAACUCGAAAAUGACACUUUUAAAUCUUAGACUCUUCAUAAAAGUUUUAGGC